GUUUCUGUGGUGUAGUGGUCAUCAUGUUCGUCUCACACACAAAAGGCCCCCUGUUCGACCCAGGGCGGAAACA